UACGUAGGGGGCUAGCGUUGUCCGGAAUCAUUGGGCGUAAAGAGCGUGUAGGCGGUCCGGUAAGUCCGCUGUGAAAGUCGGGGGGCUCAACCCUCGAAUGCCGGUGGAUACUGUCAGGCUAGAGUGCGGAAGAGGCGAGUGGAAUUCCUGGGUGUAGCGGUGAAAUGCGCAGAUAUCAGGAGGAACACCGAUGGCGAAGGCAGCUCGCUGGGACGGUACUGACGCUGAGGCGCGAAAGCGUGGGGAGCGAACAGG
rnacentral:rRNA from 1 species